GGGGAAGGGUGAGAACCUUCGAUUAAGGUUCGACUCGAGCGAAAGCGAGAGAACGUUGCCAACGGCAACGGCCCGUAGGUUGAGGAGCGAAGCGACGAAUAAUCCUUCCCCCACCACCA
rnacentral:sRNA from 2 species